CACAGAGCAGGUUGGGGCAAGUGUAUCAGCAGUCAGACAGAUUGGUUACUACCCCCGGGUUUUGGGGAUUUGCUGGUGUCACCCCAUCAGUAUUCUCAAUAUACAAGUGCUGGUCCUGUCCUGCAGGGAGGAAACCAUAUCAGAAACCUGCCAGGCAGCCAAACAGGUGUUCAGCAAAACCGUCAGUCCUCACAGACUUCCCCGCUGUUGUGUAUUUAUAUACGGUUGACUCGAGAACUGUGUUCGCCCACCUUCCCCCUGUCUGUCUCUCAAAUCCAAGAUCUUAUCAGCUGUUUGAAACUGAAGUGUUAGACUGCUGCCCGCACAGACAUAUACACACCUUUAAGUCCAGAUAAGAGAUAUAGACAUUUCAGAUUAGUGCUGAGAGAGCUCAAAACUCUGAAGAAUAACAAAAGUCAAGUACUUCUACCCAACAAGACACCAGGGGAAGUGUGAAAAUGUGCUCCUGACAAAAAGCUUGUAAAGUGGGGUAAAAUUGCCUAUAGGCCUUUUAAGUUAAAGUUUUUCCCUCCCACUUUCCUAAGCAUUAGUUGGUUUUGCUGAUCUGAAUUAUGUAGCUGAUGAGAAACAUCAUAUAAGAAAUUAUAAGAUAAGAUUUAAACGACAGUUUUAAAGUUAAAAUGUCUUAAUGAUAGAUUUGUUUCUUACAAACAUGCAGCUUUUUGCUUCACAGGAUGUUAAGUGAUGGACUGGAGUGGUGUGGAUUAGUUGUGGAUUAUUGUGAUGUGUAUUUCAGCUUUUUGAACUUUCAUUCUAACGGCCCCCAUUCACUGCAGAGGAUUCAUUGGUGAGCAAGUGAAGCAAUGCUAAAUUUAUCUAAAUCUGUUCCGAUGAAGAUAACACUCAUCUACAUGUUGGAUGAGAAUUUUUUGGUGAACUAUUAACAGUUUGGCUCUAAGACCUUCUCAAGUUUUGGAGUGCUAAGGAGGCAAAUCAUGUUCCAUUUGAAAGGAAGCCACAACAUGAACAGAACAGCUUGAAAACAACAGUUCAUUUCAUCUCGAUCAAAGCAACAGUUAAAUGCUGGUCUUUUAGCAACCUGUUAUUUGGGUAUUAAUUACAAUCAAUAAGUGAAGGAGCAAAAAUAUCAAACUGUUGCGCUACAGUGACAAAGUCAUAUAAUUAUGUACAAUUCAUACAUUUUACGUAGGAAAGAAAUUCAUUGUGGACAGCAUUAUGAAUAUAAAUGAGUGUUGAUUAAAGGGGGAUGUUGGCUGUUCUUCUAUUACAAGUAAAUGAUUUGGACACGUACCAAUUGGUAUCACACCCUGAUGCCUAAAUUAGAUGGCAGUCCAUUCUGC
rnacentral:lncRNA from 1 species